CUAUCAAUUCCACCCUCAACAACUAACACGUAACCGAUAUGGUUGGCCGUGUGCAAGCACAGUAAGACUAGUAGUGCUGCUCCUAUACACUCUUCAGUUCGUGUGUGUACUAGUAUGUGCGUGCAUUACUGAUCCUCCUCAGAUAUUUGCUCCUCUUAGUCUGGGGCCCUCCGUUGGCAUCACGCCAGGAGGUCGGUUGCUGAGCGCGAUGUAGACGGCUCGCCGACGUAUGUAUACCGCCUCGGUCGACAACACAUUUUACCUACCUCCAUCACUGCUCCUCCCCGAGAAGGGCAGCCAACUUGUCCAAGACAGGUUUUAGACAGCAGAACGCGUACCUAACGCUGCGCUUGAGUGGCUGGAAAUCCUUUGGAGUGCCAAUCAUGUGGAGGGUCCUUGUGAAGAAAACGUGGAAGGCAUGAGCCAAAGGAGAAUGAAAAUUCUCAAGUUUGUAGCAUCCACUCUAUCACUGAUCAAGACCCAAGCAACUACUCCAGCAUCCAUUCAUCACUGAAAAUGUUGAAACUGUUGAAUAUUGCUAGCUACUAGCUAGUGUGGAAGAAUUGUUUGGUGCAAGACAACCGUAUUCACCUCA